GCUGUGGAGCGUUUAAUCUGGAGUAGCUGCGGCGAAACAGGACGCGAAGAAGCAGCGA
rnacentral:sRNA from 12 species